AAUACAGUGCUCGAGAGGCUUAAGAGGUUAUACUUGAAAUAUAAUGAUUAAUAAUCGCGGGGGUUCAAAUCCCUCCUGUAUUA
rnacentral:tRNA from 1 species